rnacentral:rRNA from 1 species
CCUACGGGAGGCAGCAGUGGGGAAUAUUGCACAAUGGGGGAAACCCUGAUGCAGCGACGCCGCGUGAGAGAUGAAGUAUUUCGGUAUGUAAAGCUCUAUCAGCAGGGAAGAAAAUGACGGUACCUGACUAAGAAGCCCCGGCUAACUACGUGCCAGCAGCCGCGGUAAUACGGAGGGGGCAAGCGUUAUCCGGAUUUACUGGGUGUAAAGGGAGCGUAGACGGUCCGGCAAGCCAGAUGUGAAAGCCCGGGGCUCAACCCCGGGACUGCAUUUGGAACUGGAAGGCUAGAGUGUCGGAGAGGCAGGCGGAAUUCCUAGUGUAGCGGUGAAAUGCGUAGAUAUUAGGAGGAACACC